rnacentral:tRNA from 1 species
AAAUUGAAUGAUGCAGAAAUUUGUUAAUUUUCAGAAUUAGUCUUAGUUACUUUAAUUUUG